rnacentral:rRNA from 1 species
CGCCCCGCAAGGGGAGCGGCAGACGGGUGAGUAACGCGUGGGAAUCUACCCAUCACUACGGAACAACUCCGGGAAACUGGAGCUAAUACCGUAUACGUCCUUCGGGAGAAAGAUUUAUCGGUGAUGGAUGAGCCCGCGUUGGAUUAGCUAGUUGGUGGGGUAAUGGCCUACCAAGGCGACGAUCCAUAGCUGGUCUGAGAGGAUGAUCAGCCACACUGGGACUGAGACACGGCCCAGACUCCUACGGGAGGCAGCAGGC